AAUAAGGGACAGGUGAGUCAUCGAAUCUUUGAACGCACAUUGCGCCCGGUAGUAUUCUGCCGGGCAUGCCUGUUCGAGCGUCAUUUCAACCAUCAAGCCCCAGCGCUUGUGUUGGGGGCCUGCGGCUGCCGCAGCCCCCUAAAAGCAGUGGCGGGCUCGCUAUCACACCGAGUGCAGUAGUUCAUCUUCUCUCCGGUCUUGUGAGGCGGGUUCCGGCCGUGAAACACCCCACUACAUUCAAGGUUGACCUCGGAUCAGGUAGGAAUACCCGCUGAACUUAAGCAUAUCAAUAAGCGGAGG
rnacentral:misc_RNA from 1 species